AAGUAGGAAUCAAUCCCCCAAUCUAUCGAUUCAGCUUAUAAUAAUCUUCUUAUUAGGAUCAUUAUGUAUGCAGUACAAUUGAGUUAAGAGUUAAGUUGUGAUAAGAAAACUUGGAAUCUGUGGGCAUGCUAAUUGAAAACCCACAAGUAUCGACUAUCGUGAAACAAGCACUUGAUAGUUGAUCCUAAUCAUGUGGGGUUGGUCCUAAAUAUCUCAGCGCACGUAGGCUAUAAGAUGGAUUCAAUAGUUUUUUCUACAGUGAAAACAUUGAGCACAGAUUUAUUCACAACUCUUUUUGAACUUGGAUAUUGGGCAAACAUCCAUAGUUUCUAGCACUAUCUGACUAUCCAAAUGGUUGCUGGAUUAUUCCAAUCCUCUGGAUGUCCUGCAGUAGUUGCAAUGAUUGGGAAUUAGUUUUGCAAAGAAGAGGAUACUUAUAAUGGGUAUUUAGAAUGCUCACACUUCUGUUGGGAAUGUUACUAGGUCAUUAGUUGCAUCAAUAUAUUCAAAUACGGAUGGGUUGGAAUUAUUUAUCUGUUCCUUUUCAGUUUCUCAUUAUGCCUUGCCCAUAACAUACAUGAUUUAUUAUAAAUGCUGCACACUUUCAUUCUAAUCACAAUUGAAAAGUAUUGCUCUUUCAUCUAAAUAGUCAGGAGUUAACCAACCUCAACUGCUCCUUAUUGGAUGGAGCUUUCCAUUUGACUCUUCCUAAAGACUCUCAUGAUCUGGAUAUGGAUAGUCAAGAUUGUUUUGAUGAAGAGGGAUAGCCAAGAUUUGCUGGAGGAAUUUGAGAAAGUUGCUACUUAUGAAGGAAAUGGAAGUAGCAAUUGUAUUCGAAUCUUCAAGCGCAGGGCUGAAAAGAAGAAAAGCGCUUUCUAGGUAUACUCUUAACAGAUGUGUUGAUAUUUGACUCACGCGCAGAGGAUGUUGAGCUUAAGCACGUCUAAUGAAAUUACUUCAUGCUUCUACAGAUGAUUGAAAGUAUGUGGAAUAAAUAACUCUGAACUAAUCUAUAAAUGGUUAUAGUAAAAUAUGUUGCUUUUGUAAAAUGCUUGACCAAGAGGGUUAUGACACUAUGUGGAGUUAUCAUUGUCAUGUGUCUCUUUUCUAGCU